rnacentral:rRNA from 1 species
CCUACGGGGGGCAGCAGUGAGGAAUAUUGGUCAAUGGGCGAGAGCCUGAACCAGCCAAGUCGCGUGAGGGAGUACUGCCCUAUGGGUUGUAAACCUCUUUUGUCGGGGAGCAAAAGCCGGACGUGUCCGGCUGUGAGAGUACCCGAAGAAAAAGCAUCGCCUAACUCCUUUCCAGCAGCCCCGGUAAUACGGAAGGCCCGAACGUUAUCCUGAUUCAUUGGGCGUAAAGGGAGCGUAGGCGGGCGCUGAAGUCAGCUGUAAAACAGCGCGGCUCAACCGCGCCCCGCAGUUGAAACUGGACGCCUUGAGUUCACAACAGGCAGGCGGAAUUCGUGGUGUAGCGGGGAAAUGCAUAGAUAUCACGAGGAACCCCGAUUGCGAAGGCAGCCUGCCGGGGUGCGACUGACGCUGAGGCUCGAAGGUGCGGGUAUCAAACAGGAGUAGAUACCCUUGUAGUC